AGGUGGCCAGAGCAUCACAGCGGAGCAGACUGGCCACCUGCUAGAGGCUGGUUUCUCUUUGGACGCUGAGCACGCUCACUGGCCCUGCACACGGAGGGCUCAGGUCAGAGAGGAGAGGCUGCGGGCAAGGGGGGAGCAGGAAAGCUGCAAGCCUCGGCCAGGUGUGUCAGCUGCCUGGAUCCCGGCCUCGCGAGGUGGAGGUGCCCACUUCAGACGAGGAGCUGAGGUCCUGGGGCUGAGGCCUGGCUGAACUCACAGGUGCAUGGCAGCAUCAACUUCCGAUUCCAGAACCACACGUGUCCACUGGGGCCCCUGGCUAUGGGCGUUCCCUUGCCCCGAGCUGCCAGAAGGAGGCAGGCCCCGGAGGACAAGGAUGCUGUCACACUGGGCCUGCAGCUGGGACCGCCCUUCCUCCUGGCCCCUCUCGGAGGGUCUUGAGAACACCAUGGAGCAUGAAUUUCCAGCGCUGGAACCACCCAGCCUAGCACGGGGAGCACUUACAGCUGCUGUGACUUGGGUCCUCAGGUCAGACUGCACCGACCGAGACUCCGUGGCGCAGUUCCUGUUGCUCCCAGAUGCUGGGAAGUGUCCGUGUUUGCACCUCAGCUAACAGGGGAGGCAUCCACAGCACCGAGACCCAGGAGAGCCGCCUCCAGCCCUUGCAACUCUGGCCAGUACCAUGUGUCCCGACUUGCACGGAGGUAAGCAGUCCCAGGGAGCAGCAGCUGGGACAGGACCGGCGCCGGAUGGCUGCAGCUGCCACAGACACCAGAGCCACCAAUGGGCUCCGACCAGGGCCAUUGGUGGCUGUGGGGGCCUGCUGAGCAGACGCUGCCCGAUUCUGUCAGGGCCCUUUCCACCAUGGCCCUCCCCUCUAGCCAGACCAUCAUUUUGGUGUCCCCUGAGAGGCAUGAGCCCCUGAGGCCUCUUCCCCUUGGACCUGCCUCUAAAAUCUGGCUAAGUGCUUGGAGUAUGGACACCCUCCUGCCCUGGAGCCGAGCUUCACUGCUUGCCAGGCCAGCGGGGGGAUGGCUCUCAUCCUGGCAAGGCAAGGGGCCCUGGCCUUGAGGAGCAGGCUGGAGACCAGGCUGCAUGCAGGCAUCAGGGGGUGCAUCCACAUGGCCAUCCAGCUGCGACUGGCUCCAGCGUGGGGUGGGCAUACUGCGAGCCCACCAUGUGGGCACACCUAGUGUCUUGCCUUGGGAGCCAUCUGAUGGGAAACGGCCGCAUGCCCGCAGUGGCCCUGCCUGGGCACUGAUGCCCAGCUGGCCUGAACAUGCACGCCUGAGCCCUCAGGGCACCCCUGCUGCUCUCAGGGACCAGGACCCUGUGUCUCUGGUGCUGCCCUGAAUACACGCCUGAUGGGCGACCAUCCUGGGCCUGAGCUGGCAGGGCUGUGCGUGCUGUGCAGACAGCAAGGCCGCAGGCUGGUUCGGCAAGCUUGGCUUUCCCCCUGCGCGUGGAGCCAUCAGUUGGGAUGGCUGCCCUGGGUGAAUACGGCCUCUGGUUUCUGGCUGUCUCCCUCUAACUGCUAGUCUUCUCAGUUAAAGGCUCUUAUUUCAGAAACUAAAAUUGGAGGUUUUAUUAAAGAAGCUAGUGAUGUAUCUUAUCAAAACCAAUACUUAUAACUUAUCAUGAAUAGAG